rnacentral:lncRNA from 1 species
CUCAAGAUUUAUGUUGGAUGGUGGUCGACAUCAUCCAAGGAGUUUUUUAAAACACGGUUCUCUUUUCUAGCUGACUGUGAUUCCCACCUUCUGCUCCUCCUCUUGUAGAGAACUUCUAUGCACCAAUCCUUCCCAUGGCCCCUAGUAAGGAAAAGGUCACAGGAGGCUACAGAAAACAACAGCCAGCUCUGCUGGGGACCACACCGAGUCACCAGCACUUCACAGACACCUCAACACAAGUCAGCCUGAAAGGAGCCAACAAUGAGCAACACAGGCAAUAUGCAUGAAUUUUGGAGGACUGCUAUGCACAAGAGCUGCAGAUUCACUGGAGAAGGGAAGUUUGUUGAACUCCCAGGAGUUUCAAUCCAAUUUUUCACAUUAAAGUUGUGAUAAAGUAGAGUCACAUUUAAAAAACUACUGGCACUGUAUUAAUUACAGUGCCUGGGCUGUUGGGUUUGUAAUGGAUGGUCUGUGUUAGAGAUGCAGAAGCUGUUCCUAGACUGGAUGGCGUUUUGUACUGAGCUUUACAUCAGAGCAAUUGAUCCACUCAUACUGAGCUUACUCCUGCUUACUUUGGCAGAGAAGCCCUAAUUUUCAUCUGAACAACAGCAGUUCAGUUUAAGGCAGUGAGUUGAGGAGGUUGGCAUGGUCCCUGCUGCAAGGAAGUGAAUUUGAGGCAAUCAACACUGAUUCUCAUGCCUGUCUUCUUCCUCCCUUGCAGUCUGACACCCAGGUCCUUCCAGCAUGCCUGGAGAGCUGUGCAGUGUCUGAGCUGUGAAAUACCCAAUUGGUGUCAUACUGCCUACCCACACCAGCAAAGGCUAUGAACCUAUCAGGGACAUCCAAAUGCAGAGUAUUUUCAAAAUACCAAGUGACCCAUACGAACAGACUGAGUUUAAUACAAAAUUUUGUUAAUAAACAAGAAUGAAAAUGGUCUUUAUCUCCUGGG